GAUGAAGAACGUAGCAAAAUGCGAUAAGUAAUGUGAAUUGCAGAAUUCAGUGAAUCAUCGAACCUUUGAACGCACAUUGCGCCCGCCAGUAUUCUGGCGGGCAUGCCUGUUCGAGCGUCAUUUCAACCCUCAAGCACAGCUUGGUGUUGGGACUCGCGUUAAUUCGCGUUCCUCAAAUUGAUUGGCGGUCACGUCGAGCUUCCAUAGCGUAGUAGUAAAACCCUCGUUACUGGUAAUCGUCGCGGCCACGCCGUUAAACCCCAACUUCUGAAUGUUGACCUCGGAUCAGGUAGGAAUACCCGCUGAACUUAAGCAUAUCAAUAAGCGGAGGA
rnacentral:misc_RNA from 1 species